rnacentral:rRNA from 2 species
UUAAGUGAAUAAGGGCGCACGGUGGAUGCCUUGGCACUAGGAGCCGAUGAAGGACGGGACUAACACCGAUAUGCUUUGGGGAGCUGUACGUAAGCUAUGAUCCAGAGAUUUCCGAAUGGGGAAACCCAACAUCUUUUAUAGGAUGUUACGUUUGCGUGAAUACAUAGCGCAUUCGAGGUAGACGCAGAGAACUGAAACAUCUAAGUACCUGCAGGAAGAGAAAGAAAAUUCGAUUCCCUGAGUAGCGGCGAGCGAAACGGGAAAAGCCCAAACCAAUGAGCUUGCUCAUUGGGGUUGUAGGACUCCAAUAUGGUAGUUCUUUCAGAUAAUCGAAUGACUUGGAAAAGUCAGUCAAAGAGGGUAAAAACCCCGUAGAUGAAAUUUGGAAGGCACCUAGGAGGAUCCUGAGUACGGCGGAACACGAGGAAUUCCGUCGGAAUCCGGGAGGACCAUCUCCCAAGGCUAAAUACUCCCUAGUGACCGAUAGUGAACCAGUACCGUGAGGGAAAGGUGAAAAGCACCCCGGAAGGGGAGUGAAAUAGAACCUGAAACCGUGUGCCUACAACAAGUCAAAGCCCGUUAAUGGGUGAUGGCGUGCCUUUUGUAGAAUGAACCGGCGAGUUACGAUUGCAUGCGAGGUUAAGUCGAAGAGACGGAGCCGCAGCGAAAGCGAGUCUGAAUAGGGCGUUUGAGUAUGUAGUCGUAGACCCGAAACCAUGUGAUCUACCCAUGUCCAGGUUGAAGGUGCGGUAAAACGCACUGGAGGACCGAACCCACGUACGUUGAAAAGUGCGGGGAUGAGGUGUGGGUAGCGGAGAAAUUCCAAACGAACUUGGAGAUAGCUGGUUCUCUCCGAAAUAGCUUUAGGGCUAGCCUCGGAUUUGAGAAUGAUGGAGGUAGAGCACUGUUUGGACUAGGGGCCCAUCUCGGGUUACCGAAUUCAGAUAAACUCCGAAUGCCAUUCAUUCAUAUCCGGGAGUCAGACUGUGAGUGAUAAGAUCCAUAGUCGAAAGGGAAACAGCCCAGACCACCAGCUAAGGUCCCAAAAUAUAUGUUAAGUGGAAAAGGAUGUGGGGUUGCACAGACAACUAGGAUGUUGGCUCAGAAGCAGCCACCAUUUAAAGAGUGCGUAAUAGCUCACUAGUCGAGUGACCCUGCGCCGAAAAUGUACCGGGGCUAAACAUAUUACCGAAGCUGUGGAGUACACCAUGAGGUGUAUUGGUAGGAGAGCGUUCUAAGGGCGUUGAAGGCAGAUCGUGAGGACUGCUGGAGCGCUUAGAAGUGAGAAUGCCGGUAUGAGUAGCGAAAGACAGGUGAGAAUCCUGUCCACCGAAUGACUAAGGUUUCCUGGGGAAGGCUCGUCCGCCCAGGGUUAGUCGGGACCUAAGCCGAGGCCGACAGGCGUAGGCGAUGGACAACAGGUUGAUAUUCCUGUACUCGUUGUUUUUGUUUGAGCAAUGGAGGGACGCAGGAGGCUAAGGAAUGCAGACGAUUGGAAAUGUCUGUCCAAGCAGUAAGUCUUGAUAGGAGUCAAAUGCUUCUGUCUACACGGAUAAGCUGUGAUGGGGAGGGAAAUAAUAGUACCGAAGUUCCUGAUGUCACACUGCCAAGAAAAGCUUCUAGUGAGAAAACAAUGACCCGUACCGCAAACCGACACAGGUAGUCGAGGAGAGAAUCCUAAGGUGAGCGAGAGAACUCUCGUUAAGGAACUCGGCAAAAUGACCCCGUAACUUCGGGAGAAGGGGUGCUGAUCUUCGAUCAGCCGCAGUGAAUAGGCCCAAGCGACUGUUUAUCAAAAACACAGGUCUCUGCAAAAUCGUAAGAUGAAGUAUAGGGGCUGACGCCUGCCCGGUGCUGGAAGGUUAAGAGGAGUGCUUAGCGUAAGCGAAGGUACGAAUUGAAGCCCCAGUAAACGGCGGCCGUAACUAUAACGGUCCUAAGGUAGCGAAAUUCCUUGUCGGGUAAGUUCCGACCCGCACGAAAGGCGUAACGAUUUGGGCACUGUCUCAACGAGAGACUCGGUGAAAUUUUAGUACCUGUGAAGAUGCAGGUUACCCGCGACAGGACGGAAAGACCCCAUGGAGCUUUACUGUAGUUUGAUAUUGAGUGUCUGUACCGCAUGUACAGGAUAGGUAGGAGCCGUAGAAAUCGGAACGCUAGUUUCGAUGGAGGCGCUGGUGGGAUACUACCCCUGCGUUAUGGCCACUCUAACCCGCACCACUGAUCGUGGUGGGAGACAGUGUCAGAUGGGCAGUUUGACUGGGGCGGUCGCCUCCUAAAAGGUAACGGAGGCGCCCAAAGGUUCCCUCAGAAUGGUUGGAAAUCAUUCGAAGAGUGUAAAGGCAGAAGGGAGCUUGACUGCGAGACCAACAAGUCGAGCAGGGACGAAAGUCGGGCUUAGUGAUCCGGUGGUUCCGCAUGGAAGGGCCAUCGCUCAACGGAUAAAAGCUACCCUGGGGAUAACAGGCUUAUCUCCCCCAAGAGUCCACAUCGACGGGGAGGUUUGGCACCUCGAUGUCGGCUCGUCGCAUCCUGGGGCUGUAGUCGGUCCCAAGGGUUGGGCUGUUCGCCCAUUAAAGCGGCACGCGAGCUGGGUUCAGAACGUCGUGAGACAGUUCGGUCCCUAUCCGUCGCGGGCGUUGGAAAUUUGAGAGGAGCUGUCCUUAGUACGAGAGGACCGGGAUGGACUUACCGCUGGUGUACCAGUUGUUCUGCCAAGGGCAUUGCUGGGUAGCUAUGUAGGGAAGGGAUAAACGCUGAAAGCAUCUAAGUGUGAAGCCCACCUCAAGAUGAGAUUUCCCAUUUCUUUAAGAAAGUAAGAUCCCUGAGAGAUGAUCAGGUAGAUAGGUCAGGAGUGGAAGGCCAGUGAUGGUUGGAGCGGACUGAUACUAAUCGAUCGAGGACUUAACCAA